ensembl:snRNA U6 U6 spliceosomal RNA
GUGCUCACUUCGGCAGCACAUACACCAAAAUUGGAACAAUACAGAGAAGAUUGGCGUGGCCCCUGCACAAGGAUGACCAAAGAGUUGAUGACUGCGCAGCAGGAUCAU